GAUUUCAUAGCUCAGUGGCAGAGCAUUUGCCUUGCAAGAAGAUGGUCCUUGGUUCAAUCCCUGGACUGGGAGGGACCCU